UUAGGUUCUUGUUAGUUCUUGUGUUGUGUGAAGUGGUAAAUUAUACUUCCCUAUUCAUUUUCUUCACACCAUUCACGAUUUUAUAGACCUUUAUCAUAUCCCCUCUUAGUCAUCUCUUUUCUAAUCUGUAUAGUCCCAUUCCUUUUAGUCUCAUCGGAAAGCUGUUCCAUACCCCUCAUUAUUGUUGCCCUUCUGUCUUUAUUUCUCCAGUUCUGCAAUAUCUUUUCUGAGAUCAAGCAACCAAAACUGCAUGCAGAAUUCAAGAGGACUUCCCAGAGGAGACUAAUUCUGCUAACCCAUGGGAGGAUACGGAGAAAGCCGUCCGCUUAAAGGAUUAACAUUCAAGCAAUAAUUCCUUCAGAAAUAAAGAAUCAGUUACAAUACAUUCAAUGAAGCAAGAAAAAAAAAAAAAACACUAAUCUACAAGACAUCAUAGAAUACAAUUAUUUUUCAUUUAGAAGUCAUGUACCAAAGAAGUGCAAGAGAAUAAAAAAUAGACUAUAUGUAAUACCUAA